rnacentral:rRNA from 1 species
GAUGAACGCUGGCGGCGUGCCUAAUACAUGCAAGUCGAGCGAACAGACGAGGAGCUUGCUCCUCUGACGUUAGCGGCGGACGGGUGAGUAACACGUGGAUAACCUACCUAUAAGACUGGGAUAACUUCGGGAAACCGGAGCUAAUACCGGAUAAUAUAUUGAACCGCAUGGUUCAAUAGUGAAAGACGGUUUUGCUGUCACUUAUAGAUGGAUCCGCGCCGCAUUAGCUAGUUGGUAAGGUAACGGCUUACCGAGGCAACGAUGCGUAGCCGACCUGAGAGGGUGAACGGCCACACUGGAACUGAGACACGGUCCAGACUCCUACGGGGGGCAGCAGUAGGGAAUCUUCCGCAAAGGGCGAAAGCCUGACGGAGCAACGCCGCGUGAGUGAUGAAGGUCUUCGGAUCGUAAAACUCUGUUAUUAGGGAAGAACAAAUGUGUAAGUAACUAUGCACGUCUUGACGGUACCUAAUCAGAAAGCCACGGCUAACUACGUG